rnacentral:rRNA from 1 species
GCUCUUAUGCGUCGCAGUCUACUCNCGCACCANCCCAAUACACGGGUCUGCAAGCGGCCCAACUNGCCCCNUUUACAACCGCUAAGCCUCACCAUGAGNUGCCCACGUACCCCAUCAGCCGCUCUUGAGUCCUCCCUGCUGGUUGGAGCUCCCUGCUAUGAGCCGAGAACGGGUCGCACAUAAGAGCUUGAGUCCAUGAGAAGGCACACGAUGCCACGGUGUGAGUAAGUCCACUGGUAUGCAUGACGGAUAAACAUACGCGUACACCGAGUGAAGAGUUGCUUGUAUGCUUGUACAAGUUAACGGCUACCAAUCAUAACCGUGAUGGAGCCACCAGACCCUAUGCAGCUUCUACUG